rnacentral:rRNA from 1 species
GAUGAACGCUGGCGGCGUGCCUAAUACAUGCAAGUAGAACGCUGAAGGAAGGAGCUUGCUCUUUCCGGAUGAGUUGCGAGCGGGUGAGUAACGCGUAGGUAACCUGCCUGGUAGCGGGGGAUAACUAUUGGAAACGAUAGCUAAUACCGCAUAACAGUAGAUGUUGCAUGAUAUCUACUUAAAAGGUGCAAUUGCACCACUACCAGAUGGACCUGCGUUGUAUUAGCUAGUUGGUGAGGUAACGGCUCACCAAGGCGACGAUACAUAGCCGACCUGAGAGGGUGAUCGGCCACACUGGGACUGAGACACGGCCCAGACUCCUACGGGAGGCAGCAGUAGGGAAUCUUCGGCAAUGGACGGAAGUCUGACCGAGCAACGCCGCGUGAGUGAAGAAGGUUUUCGGAUCGUAAAGCUCUGUUGUAAGAGAAGAACGAGUGUGAGAGUGGAAAGUUCACACUGUGACGGUAGCUUACCAGAAAGGGACGGCUAACUACGUG